rnacentral:lncRNA from 1 species
CAAGUAUGUAUUUUUUUAUUAAAAAAAUAUGUUUCAUAUUAUUAAACUGAGAUGAUGAACUGGUUGUUGUUACUCUAUGAACCAAUUAACUUGCGCAUCUCGGGAGGGGUUAUUAGUUGAGCUGGUAAAAAAAUAAGCAUAUCAACAUGGUCAAAAAGGAAAAAUCCUAGAGAUUCAAGGAACCUGACCUUAGAAACUCAUGGAUUUGUGUUACUGCCGCUUUCUUUGGCACAUGCUUUAUGCCAGUCCAUGUGUGUUAAUGUGAUACAGCCCAGAUGGCAACUAUGGUUGACACAUUCCAUAUUCUUUUCUAGUUGGUCAACUAAGUUGCAUGCACCAACCAUAACCACAACAUGAUGACCAAUGCAUCAUCUCAUGUCCCCAUCAAGGAACAGUCAGGGUAUCUUGCCAAGGAGUGAUCUAAAUUCUAUCCAUUAUUAUUUAUUUUAGCAAAGUAGUUCGCUUGGCUGCAUUGCCAUCCGGGAUACUGAACUAGAUUAUGGUUGCUCUCAUGAAGCUUGACAUCUUUCAGCA